GUGAAGCCCAGCUUGCUGGGUGGAUCAGUGGCGAACGGGUGAGUAACACGUGAGCAACCUGCCCUCCACUUCGGGAUAAGCCUUGGAAACGGGGUCUAAUACCGGAUAUGAGCUCGCAUCGCAUGGUGUGGGUUGGAAAGUUUUUCGGUGGGGGACGGGCUCGCGGCCUAUCAGCUUGUUGGUGGGGUGAUGGCCUACCAAGGCGUCGACGGGUAGCCGGCCUGAGAGGGCGACCGGCCACACUGGGACUGAGACACGGCCCAGACUCCUACGGGAGGCAGCAGUGGGGAAUAUUGCACAAUGGGCGCAAGCCUGAUGCAGCGACGCCGCGUGAGGGAUGACGGCCUUCGGGUUGUAAACCUCUUUCAGCAGGGAAGAAGCGCAAGUGACGGUACCUGCAGAAGAAGCGCCGGCUAACUACGUGCCAGCAGCCGCGGUAAUACGUAGGGCGCAAGCGUUGUCCGGAAUUAUUGGGCGUAAAGAGCUCGUAGGCGGUCUGUCGCGUCUGGUGUGAAAUCCCGAGGCUCAACCUCGGGCUUGCAUCGGGUACGGGCAGACUAGAGUGCGGUAGGGGAGACUGGAAUUCCUGGUGUAGCGGUGGAAUGCGCAGAUAUCAGGAGGAACACCGAUGGCGAAGGCAGGUCUCUGGGCCGCAACUGACGCUGAGGAGCGAAAGCAUGGGGAGCGAACAGGAUUAGAUACCCUGGUAGUCCAUGCCGUAAACGUUGGGCACUAGGUGUGGGGCUCAUUCCACGAGUUCCGUGCCGCAGCUAACGCAUUAAGUGCCCCGCCUGGGGAGUACGGCCGCAAGGCUAAAACUCAAAGGAAUUGACGGGGGCCCGCACAAGCGGCGGAGCAUGCGGAUUAAUUCGAUGCAACGCGAAGAACCUUACCAAGGCUUGACAUGUACGAGAAAGCCCCCGAGACGGGGUUCUCUUUGGACACUCGUACACAGGUGGUGCGUGGUUGUCGUCAGCUCGUGUCGUGAGAUGUUGGGUUAAGUCCCGCAACGAGCGCAACCCUCGUCCUAUGUUGCCAGCGGGUUAUGCCGGGGACUCAUGGGAGACUGCCGGGGUCAACUCGGAGGAAGGUGGGGAUGACGUCAAAUCAUCAUGCCCCUUAUGUCUUGGGCUUCACGCAUGCUACAAUGGCCGGUACAGAGGGCUGCGAUACCGUAAGGUGGAGCGAAUCCCAAAAAGCCGGU
rnacentral:rRNA from 1 species